AUGACGAACCUCGCCGCCAUGAGGCCGCCAUGGAGGCCCGUCCCGAGCUCGGCUCGCCGCUCCUCCGGUGACCCUCGUUGCGCCUGGAUCCGGGUCGGGCGGAUCCGACAGAGGAGCCCUCCCAUGGCACCGGCGGCUCUGGAGAUGAGGGCUGCACAGAGGAAGAGGAGCAGCAGCAGCUCGAGGUCGUUACGCGUCGCCCACACCCCUCCUCCGCUCGCUCUCGUCUCUGUCAGGCUGCUGAUGUUCACUGCACUGGAGGGAGAGGACAAGAGUAAGAGAGCAAGAACAAUAGAUGAUUCGGUUAUUUGUGAAACUGACGGCUCUUGUGAGGAGCAAGGAUAG
rnacentral:rRNA from 1 species